AGCUUUCUAAAAUCUCUUUAGGGGUGUGCGUAGGCUCCUGUGUCUAUGCCUGCUUUUGACUGCCCAGUUGAAGCCUCUUCCUAUGCCUUUUAAAAUUUCACGCACUAUAAGGAGGAAGAGCUCAGGGCUCCCAAAACUUUUUAUUUAGAGGGAAGAAUGCUAGGGAGAUGGGUAUGCAGAGGGUUGACCAAAUUGGAAGAAAAUAUUUAUUCUGUAGUUUGGUGUUGGAAAAGGGAAUUUUCCAAUCAGCCACACCUCAGUGUUGCGGCAAAAUAAUUCUUGGCUCCCCUGGAAACGCAUGGGCAAGGUAGGGCAGAGCUGCUGCUGCUGAUACUGCCACCACCCUGGGCUUCCUGCUGACUCUGGGCUACUCCCUGGGGACAACAGAUUUGCAUUGACGUCCGGGGCUGUCCAGAGGCCCUCAAGAGCCAGUUGUGAGCUGAGCCCAGUAUGGGAAAGAUCUACCUUCUGGAAGCUACUACUACGUGGUGCUUGGAAAGAUGACUCAGUGUAUCGGGAGCCGGGAGAUGGAGCUCUCAGCAGAGUGGCCAGGAUGUUCUGUCAACAUGAAAGCUACAAAAACAGCUCGGGGCUCUGAGCUGAUCCUUAGCCUGGGGUCAUUUUCAGGGAGGGCUGGACAGAGAAGGCGGCCACCGCCCGGGCAUCAGGAUGGGAGCGACACCAGAGGACUCAGGAGAGUGCAGCUUGCUCUGUGAGUGGGUGACAACCUCUUGGCGACUCAGGCUCAGCUGAGGAUGGUGCCAGUGUGCCGGAGACAGCCGUCAUACUGCCGGAUAGAGUGGCUCACUUGCAUGUAUUUGGAACAAAAAAAGGAGAUGCCUGGCAGCCCCGCUCUCUGCAGUGCUGUUGAGCCACCAAUUUUUGUGGUUUUGUGACCACAAGUGCUGACUGAUGCGACAUGACCCCAGUCUUGUCAGUGAAUCAUCACCAGGCUGCUUACUGGAAACUGGAUGCAGCAAGGAAAUAGGAUUUAACCGCUCUCUGCCUCCCAGGAGCCCUGAAAUCAGCAUUCCCAGAGGAAAGAAGAUGGCCAUCUGGGCUUGGCUUCCGGCUCCCCCCAUCUGGCUGGAACACACAUCAGUCACCCCUGUGUAACCUCCUCUGUGCCUUUCCCAUGGAGCACUGUGUCAUAUCACAAGUAGAACUACAAGAAGAUAUUUCUCCUCAGGGCAGAGGCUGGGUCUUCCGAUUGAAUCUCCCUUCUUUCUUCAUUGAGAUCCUCUUCUUCUGGAAGCUGGUUUCACAUGGUGGCUUAGAUUUUUCCAUCUUUGUAUCUAGCACCAUUUGAAAUCAGUGUUUUAGGAGUAAGAAUUGCAGCACAGCCAAGGGUGGACUGCAGAGGAACUGCUGCUCAUGGAACUGGCUCCUCUCCUCUUGCCACUUGAGUCUGUUCGAGAAGUCCAGGGAAGAACUUGAAGAGCAAAAUACACUCUUGAGUUUGUUGGGUUUUGGGAGAGGUGACAGUAGAGAAGGGGGUUGUGUUUAAAAUAAACACAGUGGCUUGAGCAGGGGCAGAGGUUGUGAUGCUAUUUCUGUUGACUCCUAGCAGCCAUCACCAGCAUGAAUGUGUUCGUAGGGCCUUUGAGUGUGGCGAUUGUCAUAUUCUGUUGGAUAACAAUGUAUUGGGUGUCGAUUGUCAUGGGGCAGGGGAGAGGGCAGUACACCUGGAGGACCAUUUUGUCCACAUCGACACCAUCAGUCUGCUCUUAGAGGAUGCCCUGGAGUAUUCGGCGUUGAUUGCGGGGCACCCGAAAUCAGACUUGCCACCUGGACUGUCGAGGUGCAGACCCUGGGAGCACCACUGGCCCAUCUCUUACACAGGCUGACCGAUUUCUCCUGGUGUUCAGAGUCUGUUUUUGUCUAGCACCAUUUGAAAUCGGUUAUGAUGUAGGGGGAAAAGCAGCAGCCUCGAAGCCUCAUGCCAACUCUGGGCAGCAGCAGCCUGUGGUUUCCUGGAAGAUGGAUGGGCAGAGAAUAGGGAAGGAAGAUCAUGCUUUUCCCUACUAACUUCUGUAACUGCAUGUAUGAUACAUUAUUGCAGAGGUAAGAGAUAGUUUAAUGGAUUUUUAAAAACAAAUUACUAUAAUUUAUCUGAUGUUCUCUAGUUGCAUUUUGCUGAAAUGUAGUGCUGUUCUAAAUUCUGUAAAUUGAUUGCUGUUGAAUUAUCUUUCUGUUGAGAAGAGUCUAUUCAUGCAUCCUGACCUUAAUAAAUACUAUGUUCAGUUUAUCAAAAAAAAAAA
rnacentral:lncRNA from 1 species